rnacentral:rRNA from 1 species
AACGCGAAGAACCUUACCUGGGCUUGAACCGCACAGGACCAGCUUCAGAAAUGAGGCCUUCCCGCAAGGGACCUGUGUAGAGGUGCUGCAUGGCUGUCGUCAGCUCGUGUCGUGAGAUGUUGGGUUAAGUCCCGCAACGAGCGCAACCCUUGCCGUUAGUUGCCAUCGAGUAAUGUCGGGCACUCUAGCGGGACUGCCGGUGUUAAACCGGAGGAAGGUGGGGAUGACGUCAAGUCCUCAUGGCCUUUAUGUCUGGGGCUACACACGUGCUACAAUGGCAUCUACAAACCGCUGCGAACUCGUAAGGGGAAGCAAAUCGGAAAAAAGAUGUCUCAGUUCGGAUCGGAGUCUGCAACUCGACUUCGUGAAGUUGGAAUCGCUAGUAAUCGUGGAUCAGCAUGCCACGGUGAAUACGUUCCCGGGCCUUGUACACACCGAGACGAC